CCUACGGGGUGCAGCAGUGAGGAAUAUUGGUCAAUGGACGAGAGUCUGAACCAGCCAAGUAGCGUGAAGGAUGACUGCCCUAUGGGUUGUAAACUUCUUUUAUAUGGGAAUAAAAUGUUCCACGUGUGGGAUUUUGUAUGUACCAUAUGAAUAAGGAUCGGCUAACUCCGUGCCAGCAGCCGCGGUAAUACGGAGGAUCCGAGCGUUAUCCGGAUUUAUUGGGUUUAAAGGGAGCGUAGGUGGAUUGUUAAGUCAGUUGUGAAAGUUUGCGGCUGAACCGUAAAAUUGCAGUUGAAACUGGCAGUCUUGAGUACAGUAGAGGUGGGCGGAAUUCGUGGUGUAGCGGUGAAAUGCUUAGAUAUCACGAAGAACUCCGAUUGCGAAGGCAGUUCACUGGACUGCAACUGACACUGAGGCUCGAAAGUGUGGGUAUCAAACAGGAUUAGAUACCCGAGUAGUC
rnacentral:rRNA from 1 species